GCCCGGAUGGCGAAAUUGGUAGACGCGCACGCUUCAGGUGCGUGAGAGGGAAACCUCGUGGAAGUUCGAGUCUUCUUCCGGGCACCA
rnacentral:tRNA from 1 species